CACCGCUUUAAGCUUUCAGCUCCCAGCACCUGUCCUCUUCUCACUGGGGGUCUUGAAGGUACAGCUGAGUCAAACCCGUACAUUAUAUUUGUGUAUGUGUCAACUACUUAUCAUAUCUACUCUAAGUAAAGCCCUCUCUCCUGGGUGGAAGGAGAAAACAAACACGGCUGUUAGAGGAGUUUGCGCUCUAACAGAACAGAUUCAUGCACCCGUGACAUGAGGACGUGGACCAGAGCUGGACCGCUGUGAGUUGCCGUCUCAGGUUCCCAGACACAGCCUUGGUCUCACGGUGGAGACCUGUUUGUAACCUCACUCCUGGGUGUGGGGAACGGAAACAAUGGUUGGAGGGUCUAGGAAAGCAGUCUGCCUGUGCUGGGCGUGGCUCCCACCUCUGCAGCUUUCGCCCAUCCAUCCCAGCUGCGGCCCUAUCAUGACCCGCAUGCUCAAGUUCACCACGUCCACCUCCCCAAGUGGAGCACUGGGGCUCUGAGGCACAUCUCCAGGACCCCAGGACAGAGAUGGCUAAUUGCUUACCCAAUAGACGUUUCUUCUUCCUCCUCAGUGUGUUUGUUUGCUAGGGCUGCCGUAACAAAGGACCACAGGCUGUGCGUCAAACAUCUCAUAGUUCUGGAGGCUGGAAGUCUGAAACCAAGAUUGAGGACAUGUUAGCUGGAGUUCUAGCAUCCCUCUUGAGACCUGAGACAACCUCGAAGUUGGAAGCUGUGGUCUUAGGAGAGUGGAGCAGAAGCUAGAAGGAGCCGGGGUCUCUGAUAAGACAGUGGGGCCACCAUGCCAGCCACGGGCUGCCCACCUCCAACUACUCUUCCGUCAUGAGAAGAAGCCUGGACUAGCCUGCUGAGGAUGAGAGACCGACCACAUAGAGCAGGGUAAGUCCUCCCAGCUGAGGCCAUCCUAGACCAGUCCACUCUCAAAUGACUGCAGACACAUAAGUAAGGCUGGUCGAGAUCAGCUGAGCUCGGCUUAGGUCAGCAGAACUGCCCAGCCAACCCCAAGGCUCAUGAGAAAUAAUAAAUGUCUGUUAGUUUACAGCACUAUGAUUUGGGGUGGUUUGAUCUGCAGCACUAUUGUGUCAAUAGGUGACAGGUACAGAGAAGAAGAAAAGGUCUGACAAGCAGAGCAGAAGGACCUUUUGAAAGACCCCGUGCCCUGAGCUCCUUGGGUCCUGCAGGGCCCAUGUUUUAUGGUUCUCAUGGCAUCAGUGAGGGAGAGCACUAUCUCUUUGGCUGCCUCCCGGAAAAGAGGAGACAUCUGAAAAGCAACCGACCAGAGAUAUGCAGUUUCUUUAAAACCCUCCCGCCUUCCUUUGAUCCCCUGGAAGAGGUGGACUUCGUGACCUUGGCCUUGGGAUACACACAGGGAGAAGAUGUCCAUGUGAAGACACAGAGAUGCAGGGAGAAUGCUAUGUGAAGACAGAGCAGAGACUAGAGUGGUCCAUCUACAAGCCAAGGAACACCAAGAAUUGCCAGCAACCACCAGAAGCUUGGAGUGAAAUGUGGAAUAAGUUCGCUCUCAGAGCCUCCAGUAGGAACUAACCUUGACUGUGGACUUCUAAUCUCCAGAACUAUGAGAGAAUAAAUUUAUGUUGUUUGAGUCACUCGGUUUGUGGUACUUUGUUACAGCAGCCACAGGAAAUUAAUACACUUGGCCCUCACCUGUCACAGAUCUGCUGGCGCCUUGAUCUUGGACUUCCCAGCCUCCCCAACUGUGAGAAAUAAAUGUUCAUUGUUUAAGCCACUCAGUCUGCGGUAUUUUUGUCAUAGCAGCCCAAGUAGACUAAGACAAGGCUG
ensembl:lncRNA